rnacentral:tRNA from 1 species
GUUCUUAUAGAUUAAGUAAUUAAAUUGUGAGGCUGUUAACUUCAAGAUGUGCUUUAGCACUGGGGACG